rnacentral:rRNA from 1 species
GAUGAACGCUGGCGGCGUGCCUAAUACAUGCAAGUCGAGCGAACAGACGAGGAGCUUGCUCCUCUGACGUUAGCGGCGGACGGGUGAGUAACACGUGGAUAACCUACCUAUAAGACUGGGAUAACUUCGGGAAACCGGAGCUAAUACCGGAUAAUAUAUUGAACCGCAUGGUUCAAUAGUGAAAGACGGUUUUGCUGUCACUUAUAGAUGGAUCCGCGCCGCAUUAGCUAGUUGGUAAGGUAACGGCUUACCAAGGCAACGAUGCGUAGCCGACCUGAGAGGGUGAUCGGCCACACUGGAACUGAGACACGGUCCAGACUCCUACGGGAGGCAGCAGUAGGGAAUCUUCCGCAAUGGGCGAAAGCUUGACGGAGCAACGCCGCGUGAGUGAUGAAGGUCUUCGGAUCGUAAAACUCUGUUAUUAGGGAAGAACAAAUGUGUAAGUAACUAUGCACGUCGUGACGGUACCUAAUCAGAAAGCCACGGCUAACUACGUG